CUUGAUUCAUAAAUAGUUUCAUUUAUAUUUCAAAGAGAGACGAAGUUUCAUUACGAAAUGGUGGAAUUUUCUAUCACGGAAAAUCGUCUGUUUUCGCACAAUUAAAGGAGCUGAGUAUUUUACCGAAUAAAUUCAAUUCUUCAGGUGCAACUUUUAAUUAUGUACGUAAGACAUCCGAAGAAUCUGGACCAUCUGGAUCAUCUGGACCAUCUGAACCAUCUGAACCAUCUGAACCAUCUUCAGGUGUAUACUCUUGCAGAGCAACGGUGAAUGGAAAGCAAGGAAAGUUGAUUGCCAUAAGCUAUGCGUGCCCCCAAGGAAUGAUAAUCGGUGUUACUAAUAUUUUUAUUUCUUAGUUAUCAUCCAAUUGAUUGUGCCUAAUCGUAACUGUUUACCGAAUUUAAAAAAAACAACUUUCUCUGGGAUAAAAUUGAAUCGUUUCUUAAUUUUUUGAAUGCUUCUAUAUUCAGAAGUUUGAAAUUUAAUUCUUCAUUGUAAUCCAGUUUUAUGUUGCAAUAAAUAAAAGAUAAUCAGUUUAUAAA